AUUGAACGCUGGCGGCAUGCCUUACACAUGCAAGUCGAACGGUAACAGGUUAAGCUGACGAGUGGCGAACGGGUGAGUAAUACAUCGGAACGUGCCCAGACGUGGGGGAUAGCUCGGCGAAAGCCGGAUUAAUACCGCAUAAGCUCUGAGGAGGAAAGAGGGGGACAGUAAGGCCUCGAGAGUUUGGAGCGGCCGAUGGAGGAUUAGGUAGUUGGUGGGGUAAAGGCUUAACAAGCCUACGAUCUGUAGCUGGUCUGAGAGGACGACCAGCCACACUGGGACUGAGACACGGCCCAGACUCCUACGGGAGGCAGCAGUGGGGAAUUUUGGACAAUGGGCGCAAGCCUGAUCCAGCAAUGCCGCGUGCAGGAUGAAGGCCUUCGGGUUGUAAACUGCUUUUGUACGGAACGAAAAGGCGCCUACUAAUACUGGGUGUUGAUGACGGUACCGUAAGAAUAAGCACCGGCUAACUACGUGCCAGCCGCCGCCGUAACAC
rnacentral:rRNA from 1 species